rnacentral:rRNA from 1 species
AGUGAACGCUGGCGGUAGGCCUAACACAUGCAAGUCGAACGGCAGCACAGUAAGAGCUUGCUCUUACGGGUGGCGAGUGGCGGACGGGUGAGGAAUACAUCGGAAUCUACUUUUUCGUGGGGGAUAACGUAGGGAAACUUACGCUAAUACCGCAUACGACCUACGGGUGAAAGCAGGGGAUCUUCGGACCUUGCGCGAUUGAAUGAGCCGAUGUCGGAUUAGCUAGUUGGCGGGGUAAAGGCCCACCAAGGCGACGAUCCGUAGCUGGUCUGAGAGGAUGAUCAGCCACACUGGAACUGAGACACGGUCCAGACUCCUACGGGAGGCAGCAGUGGGGAAUAUUGGACAAUGGGCGCAAGCCUGAUCCAGCCAUACCGCGUGGGUGAAGAAGGCCUUCGGGUUGUAGAGCCCUUUUGUUGGGAAAGAAAAGCAGCAGGUUAAUACCCCGCUGUUCCGACGGUACCCAAAGAAUAAGCACCGGCUAACUUCGUG